AACAUUGGAGCAAUUAACUCUCCAUCCGCGUGACAUGCAAAAAGGUCGAAGACAAACGGUUUGUUCCCUCCUACAAAUAUCAAGAACACAAACCGCCCACACCACCUCCUGCGGAUCAGGUUCGGUUCAGGAUAUCUGAAAGUUCACAUGCUCACAAGAAACAUAUGCAUACUUUUGAUAUAAAACUUCUGGAAAAUUAAGGAACCCAAAUAAAAUAUUGCAUCUCUUAAAAGUGUAGUGUUCUCUCGUUCGUUCUGCAGCGGCUUUUUAAACUGGGUUUUCUUGUUUCUGCUUGUUGAAAUGCCCAGAAGAAAUUUUCUUUGUACUUGAGGACCAUGACAAUUGAAAUCGCUAGAAUGGGUUGGUGAUCGCUUUGAUGAAGCAUUAAUUUGAAAGAAUUACGAGCUUUGGGUUCAGAUAAUUUCAGGAUAAGCUAUCACAAAUUGUGGAGAACGUAUAGUUUUAACUGCUAAUGAGGAUGCAGCAUUUCACUUGGAAUUUUGUCACCGGCAAAUUAAUAUGACUAUAUCUUGAAUUGCACCUUUUGGCCAAAUUCCAUAAUUGCAAUUGCAAUUGCAAUUGCAAGACACAGAUUAUUAUUUUCUGAAAAGUCAAAUGGCAAGUUCAUUACUACCUUGGGGUAAGGUACCCCUGCAAAUUUGUCGACUGUCCUAUUGCUCUUAUCCUCAUCAUUUAGAGUUCAUUUUCUGUCCACAAUCGUACUCCAAACGAAUUAUCCAUGAAAAGCCCAAUUCGAAGGAGACGCUGGUCUUCGGACUAUCAGCAUGCCAUUAUCAGCUCAAACCAGCUACCGCGCUUAACUCGGAAGAAUCGCAUCCCACUAAUCAGGAAAACCAAACACAGGAACCAUCAACACUAAGAAGAGGUGAGAACUUUGAGCAAUGGGAUUCAAUGACAGCAAAGUUUGCAGGAGCUGCAAAUGUACCAUUUCUGUUGUUGCAACUGCCUCAGAUCAUACUUAAUGCUCGGAAUCUUCAAGCAGGAAACAAGUCUGCACUCUUAGCUGUUCCAUGGCUGGGGAUGUUCACUGGAUUGCUAGGGAAUCUGUCUUUGAUGUCAUACUUUAUCAAGAAGAGGGAGACUGAAGCAGUGGUGGUGCAGACUUUAGGAGUUGUAUCCAUCUUUGUUGUGAUGUUGCAGCUGGCCAUGGCUGAAGCGAUGCCUCUUCCUCAUUUCAUUGCCACUUCCAUUGUGGUUGCUUCUGGCCUCAUCGUGAAUUUUAUGAAAUACUUUCAUUUGCUCAAUCUGGAAAUCUGGCAUGUUUGGGAAGAUUUUAUUACUAUUGCAGGGCUCUCUGCCCUUCCACAAGUUAUGUGGUCGACAUUUGUUCCAUAUGUUCCAAACACUAUCUUGCCUGGAGUGAUUUCCUUUUCGACCGCUGUGCUUGCUGUUCUUAUGGCUCGGAUUGGUAAGCUCUCGGACCAAGGCACAAAAUUUCUGGGAUCAGUAUCUAGCUGGUGUGCCACUCUUCUUUUCAUGUGGAUGCCUGUUGCACAAAUGUGGACAAAUCUUCUGAAUCCUGAUAACAUAAGAGGUUUGUCAGCUGUCACAAUGUUACUAGCCAUGAUUGGAAAUGGAUUUAUGAUUCCACGUGCCUUAUUUAUUCGGGAUUUCAUGUGGUAUGUCUGUGUCCCUUUUCCUACUGUCCAAUGAUUUUGCUUAGGUUUAAAUAUGGUUAAUCUAAUCGACAUUUCAUUAUUAAGAAGGCAAAGGCCCGCAUUUUUCUGUUUUAUAAAUUUAGUUGUGUUUCUAAUGAUGUUUCUUUGUUAUUCCAUAAACGCAAUAAAAUAUUGUGGCUUUUUAAUGUAUUGAGGAGUUAAUAACAUGCUCUAAGUUGGGCAAAGUAGUAGAUUAUAAGCUACAAAGUGUGUGGAUAAUAAGUGAGUAUAAGUUUUGAGUUCUAUGGGAUCGCAUUAAUGCGAAUAGAUGAGAAGUCGACUUGGCGAUUUGGUGACCCCUAAAGAUAUGUUCUUUACAAAUGGAUCCCACGAACUUCGACUCUGCUUAGGCGGGCGAACCACGGCAAAUGAAUCAGCUAAUGGGUGGAUUGAAGACUAAGGGAGCAACCAUGCUGAUCUGACUUGAAGACGUCGCGACUAUGUGGACUUCGUCAAUCGUGAUUGCUCUCCUUUACAGCUUCUAGAGGGCUCGACUAGUGCUCCAAACUUAGCCUGUUGAUUUAAGCUGAAGAAGUACUAAGCCGGGGCCGAUUGGAGUUGGUAUCAUUGAAAAUGAUAACACCUUACCAUACUUCAAGAUUGUGCACAGCACUCCCCCACUUUACUUUCUCUUAUCAGGGGCAAUAUCCUUUGCCUAUGUCAAAGACAGCUUAUUCGUCGUACUAACGUGUUUUUUAUUGGGAUUGGGUGUCUGGUGGUAUCUUCUGCCGCAAAUCAGGUGCUAAUAAAUUGGAUUCCUCCGGAUGCCUAGGAUAUAAAAAUAAAUGUUGACGGCGCUUUGAGUGGAAACCUGGGACCGGCAGGAGCUGGAGGGCUUUCCUUCGCCUACCCCGGAAAUGAUUGAGAAUGACGACUCCUCUAUCUACGCUCUUCCGUAGGUCAAGAAAGCAACCACCCUAUGUAGUAGUUAUCCCUGGCAGGUUCACUGGUUCGAGUUGGGGCUGUAUUUUCUAUGGAUUGGGCAACCUAAUAUGCAUGUAUUGCUUCAACAGUAUUAGCAAGGAGUUCUUCUUGGCUGCAACCCUUGGCUUUAUUGCCUGGAUAGGAAUCACUCUAUGGAGAGACUCUCAAGCUUAUGGAUACUCCUCACCAUUAACAUCUUUAAAGGAGUUGGUUUUUGGCCCCUGAAGUUCCUUCUCCUCUGCUUUUGUGAAGACAAUAUUCAAGCUGUACUGUGGCAACAUGCAAGAAAUGCAACAGUUCCUCUAAACUUGAUCAAGUUUCUGGAUUGAAAUCAGUUUGAUUUUGAGCUUUGGCGAAUCAAAGUCAGAAGAAUGUUAAUUCAAAUCUUCCACGCAAAUGAAAUGAAAUGCUGCGGAUAAAAGUACUUUCACUCUUAUCUGUAAAUUCCGUCUCUAGUUCCACAGAUAAAGUAGUUGAACUUAAAACCUUUAUGGAAAACAACAUCGUGCUGUAUUGGUUGAUAUCACACAGAUUGUAAGACAGAGGAUCAAGUUGCUAUCAGCAGUUAAAAUUUUUCGACUCUGAUAUACUUCCCAUUAAAAUCUGUAUUUGAACAAUUAAUGAGAAGCCAAUUUUAUGUAUUCAUUUUA